GAGGUGGAUGCCCAGGACGAGCUUUGAGGUGGAGAGAGGGAUGUCAUGGCUCAUCCUCCAGUUUCCAAGUAAAAACCUUCCGGCCAAUCUUGGCCGCGCGUCCUGGUGUAGCGAGCGGGCUUGGAGGAGCUCACCGCUGCUGUCAUGGUUCGUUUGCUAAACUGCAUCGUCGCUGUGUCUCAGAACAUGGGCAUCGGCAAGAACGGGGACCUGCCCUGACCGCCGCUCAGGAAUGAAUUUAGGUAUUUCCAGAGAAUGACACAAUCUCUUCAGUAGAAGGUAAACAGAAUCUGGUGAUUUUGUGUAGGAAGACCUGGUUCUCCAUUCCUGGGAAGAAUCGACCUUCAAAGGAUAGAAUUAAUUUAGUUCUCAGCAGAGAACUCAAGGAACCUCCACAACGAGCUCAUUUUCUUGCCAGAAGUCUGGUUGAGAUCUUAAAACUUACUUAACAACCAGAAUUAGCAAAUAGAGUAGACAUGAUUUGGAUAGUUGGUGGCAGUUCUGUUUAUAAGGAAGCCAUGAGUCGCCCAGGCCAUCUUAAACUAUUUGUGACAAAGAUCAUGCAGGACUUUGAAAGUGACACGUUUUUUCCAGAAAUUGAUUUGGAGAAAUAUAAAAUUCUGCCAGAAUAUCCAGGCGUUCUCUCGGAUGUAUUAAGUACAAAUUUCAAGUAUAUGAGAAGAAUGAUUAAUAUGAAGGUGUUUUCUGGUUUAUUUUAAGUUGUUCCCCCUCCCUCUGAAAAAAAGUUUAUAUUUUUACAUUAGAAAAAAAGACUUUUGUUGACUUUAGAUCUUUGGAUAAUUAUUUCUAAGCAACAUGUUUUUACUCCCCACUAAUCUUGACUAUAUCAGAUACCACUUAUGAAAUAUUCUUGCUAUAAUUAAGUGCCUCUCCAAGACCCUGACUGAGUCCCCAGCACCUGCUACAGUGAGCUGCCAUUCCACACCCAUCGCAUAUGGGACUCUUGCCAGUCCUUGACAUUGUCGGGCUUUUCAAAUGUUGGUAGUAUUUCUUAAAGAUGAAGAUGCACAUACCCUCCAACUGAGAAGUUUCACUAGUGGGAAAUACCGAAAGCUCCUUACGUGUAUACCCAGAGGUUUGCACGCAAAUGUUGCAGCCUUGUUUGUAACAGUGAAAAAUUGAAAACAACCUGGAAGUCCAGUGAUGGGAAAAUGAAUAUAUUUCUGUCUUUUGGGGAACCCAAAGCAGGUUCCAAGACUGCAAUUUCAGUGAAAGCAGUUUAUUUUCUAGGUCUUACCAGAAAUCAUCAAUUGAGGUACGGAGAAAUGGAACUGAGAAGAGUUUCGCUCUUGUUACCCUGACGGAGUGCAAUGGCACAACUUCAGCUCACUGCAACCUCUGACUUCCCAGGUUCAAAUGAUUCUCCUGCCUCAGGCUCCCAUGUAGCUGGGACUACAGGCACGUGCCACGACGCCUGGCUAAUUUUGUGUUUUUGGUGAAGACGGGGUUUCACAAUGUUGGUCAGGCUGGUCUCAAACUCCUGACCUAAAGUGAUCCGCCUGCCUCGGCCUCCCAAAGUGCUGGGAUUAUAGGCUUGAGCCACCCCAGAUCUUUAUUCUUUUUAUGUAGUAAAAAGUAUAAAGCCACGCAUGGUUUAUUUGAAAUAUUUUAUGUUUUAAAAAAAUACAGAAGCAGGAAAACCAAUUCUAAGUUCAAGUGAGGGAUGAUGGUAGUUUGAACCAAAGGGUUGCAUGUAGUAAGAAACUGUGAUUUAAGAUAUAUUUUAAAGUCAGAAGUAGCAGGAUAUUCUGAUGGAGUUUGCCCUGGGUUUGGGCCCACUGAGUUUGAGAUGCCUUUGAGAAAUGAAGAAAGUAGAGAGAGAAUAAAAGAAAAACUGGCCAGGCACAGUGGCUCAUGCCUGUAAUACAGUGGCUCAGCAUUUUGGGAGGCAGAGACAGGCAGAUACCUUGAGAUCAGCUUGGGCAACAUGGUGAAGCCCCAUCUCUACAAAAAAUACAAAAGUUAGCUGGGCAUUGUGGCGCACACCUGUAGUCCCAUCUACUCAGGGAGCUGAGAUGGAAGGAUCAAUUGAGCCUGCGAGUUCGAGGCUGCAGUGAGUUGUGAUUGUGCCACUGCACUCCAGCCUGGGUGACAGAAGAGACCUUGUCUCGAAAAAGAAGCUGAAAACAAUGGAACCAUGCCUUCAGAAUUCCAGAAAGAAAGUUAUUUUCAACGAAUAAAUCUAUAUUCAGCCAAAUAAUCAAGGGUGAAGGUAAAAUAAUACAUUUUUAGGCAAGCAAAGACUCAGGGGUUACCUCCAUGUAUCUUUUGUUGGGAAACUAUUGGAGAAAAUACUCCAGCAAAAUGAAGGAGUAGACAAACCAGAGAAUGACAUGGAUCCAGCAAAUAGGAUCCAACACAGGAAAUAUUCCAGCUAUGGAGCUGGCUUUAAAAAGAAACAGUAAAAAUAUUAAUAGGUUAGCUGGGUGGAAUGGCCCAUGCCUGUAGUUCCAGCUACUCAGGAGGCUAAGCAAAGAGGUUGGCUUGAGCCCAAGAUUUCCAGACCAGCCUGGCCACCAUAGUAAGAUUCCCUUCUCUUAAAAAUAAUAAUAGGUUAUGGCCAGAUUUGGGGCAUUUGGAAAGUAGUUCAUUGAAGAUAAAGCAAAAGUUAAAAAAAAAAAACAAGGGGGAAGGGUGGUUAGGCAAUCAUUAAUUCUAGGGCAGAAGGAAGCACAAGGCAGGAAGCAAGAGCAUAAUACUCUGUUUUUCUCAACAAUGAGCAAUAUGUACAUACUCAUAAUGAUGUGGUGACUACUUAGCCCCUAAAUCUGGUAACUACUUUGGGACAAUAUGGGGGGAAAAGUGAAGGUAGUGAUGGUGUAAGAGCUAAAUCCUCAUCUGUCAUAUCAAGAAAUUACUAUAGAAUGUAUAAAAUAAUCAAGAAAUGACUAAGUAGUUAUGUGAGAAAAAAAUAGAAGACAUUGCUAAAAGAGUUAAAAGUCAUUGCUCUGGAGAAUUAGGAGGGAUGGGGCAGGGGACUGUUAGGAUGCAUUAUAAACUGAAGAGGCUUUUUAAAAUUACAUGUAUUAAUAUAUGCACCCACUUGAAAAACUAAAAAAAUAAUAAUUUGGAAAAACCCAUGAAGGUAACUACCAGGAGGAAAAACUAAGAGAAUGAAAAGUGUUUGCCUCUCGAGAGAACAACUGGCAGGACUGUUGUUUUCAUUGUAAGACUUUUGGAGCCAUUUGAUUUUACUUAACCAUUUUCAUGUAUUCCUUUAAUA
ensembl:lncRNA novel transcript